rnacentral:pre_miRNA from 1 species
GAACUACUCCCUCCGUUCGGAAUUACUUGUCGCAAAAAUGGAUGUAUCUAGACAUAUUUUAGUUCUAGAUACAUCCAUUUCCGAGACAAGUAAUUCCGAACGGAGGGAGUAAUAC